GAUUGCCCUAGUAACGGCGAGUGAAGCGGCAACAGCUCAAAUUUGAAAGCUGGCUCCGGCCCGCAUUGUAAUUUGCAGAGGAUGCUUCUGGCAAGGUGCCUUCCGAGUUCCCUGGAACGGGACGCCAUAGAGGGUGAGAGCCCCGUAUGGAUGGACACCAAGCCUGUGUGAAGCUCCUUCAACGAGUCGAGUAGUUUGGGAAUGCUGCUCAAAAUGGGAGGUAAAUCUCUUCUAAAGCUAAAUACCGGCCAGAGACCGAUAGCGCACAAGUAGAGUGAUCGAAAGAUGAAAAGCACCUUGAAAAGGGGGUUAAACAGUACGUGAAAUUGUUGAAAGGGAAGCGCUUGUGACCAGACUUGCGCCGGGCGGCUCAUCAGGGGUUCUCCCCUGUGUACUCCGCCCGGCUCAGGCCAGCAUCGGUUCUCGUGGGGGGAUAAGAACGGUGGGAAUGUGGCCCCCCUCCGGGGGGGUGUUAUAGCCCAUUGUACGAUACCCUCGUGGGGACCGAGGUUCGCGCUCCGCAAGGAUGCUGGCGUAAUGGUCAUCAGCGACCCGUCUUGAAACACGGACCAAGGAGUCGUCCAUUAGAGCGAGCGUUUGGGUGUAAAACCCCCACGCGUAAUGAAAGUGAACGCAGGUGAGAGCUUCGGCGCAUCAUCGACCGAUCCUGAUGUCUUCGGAUGGAUUUGAGUAAGAGUUUUAACGGACGGACCCGAAAGACAGUGAACUAUGCUUGUAUAGGGUGAAGCCAGAGGAAACUCUGGUGGAGGCUCGCAGCGGUUCUGACGUGCAAAUCGAUCG
rnacentral:rRNA from 1 species